rnacentral:rRNA from 1 species
UACGGAGGGUGCAAACGUUGCUCGGAAUCAUUGGGCGUAAAGCGCACGUAGGCGGCCUGAUAAGUCGGGUGUGAAAGCCCUGGGCUCAACCCAGGAAGUGCACUCGAAACUGUCAGGCUUGAAUAUGGAAGAGGGUCGCGGAAUUCCCGGUGUAGAGGUGAAAUUCGUAGAUAUCGGGAGGAACACCAGUGGCGAAGGCGGCGACCUGGGCCAAUAUUGACGCUGAGGUGCGAAAGCGUGGGGAGCAAACCGG